rnacentral:rRNA from 1 species
CCUACGGGGGGCAGCAGUGGGGAAUAUUGCACAAUGGGGGAAACCCUGAUGCAGCAACGCCGCGUGAGUGAAGAAGUCAUUCGUGAUGUAAAGCUCUAUCAGCAGGGAAGAAAAUGACGGUACCUGACUAAGAAGCCCCGGCUAACUACGUGCCAGCAGCCGCGGUAAUACGUAGGGGGCAAGCGUUAUCCGGAUUUACUGGGUGUAAAGGGAGCGUAGACGGCAAUGUAAGCCAGAUGUGAAAGCCCGGGGCUCAACCCCGGGACUGCUUUUGGAACUGUGCAGCUGGAGGGUCG